CCAAAGCUGGAGGAGGGGAUGCCAGGAGGCUGUGGCUUCAGGCCUAGAGAGUCCAUGUGGCUGACCUCAGAAAGAACAGGACAAGGCCUUGUCACAUAAGCAGAAGCAGCUUGUGCAUGACGAGGUAGGGCUGCUUGGUUAUAAGUUUCUUCUCCGGUAACAGUGAAAACAUCCUUAGCCCCAGGGGAGAGUGAACAGUGGACGGGCUCUGACCCGCAGGAAUGCCAAACUUUUAUGAUGAGUCCCUUGGUCAAGACUUCCUGCCAUCACCAACUUCCAAUCCUGGCUCAGAUACUUACGGGGUGAAUGACCCCUAGCAUUAUGUGGCCAUGAAAAAAAAAACCACAUUGGAUUGGAAGACGUUCAUUUGAACCCCAAAUAAACUCCUGGCUCCCCUUCAUUUAGAGCUGGGUAUCCUGAAACCAA